UGAAUUAAUAUAUUUGACACCACCGCUAUGUAAGGCGUGGAAUUUAACCACAAACUACCGGGCGCGCGACCAGAAUUAUUUUUUAUUUAUUUUUGGCGGGGGGUCCAAACAUAAAAUUUAUCGCCGACUACUAAUAUAAUCGUACCGGCAAUUAUAUUUUUUUUUGAAAGAAGCUUAAAUUUCGUUUGGGGGGGGGGUUAAGACCCCUAUGGACACGUCGCCCUUGCUACGCGCCGGCAGACUGUAUACGUAUAUACGAGUUCGGAACGUUUUAUGAUUGUACGAUGAUGCAUAAUUGGACAUUUAUUUCGAAUAACACUUAUCAUCUCGAAUACUUCGUAGCCAUUCGGAAGAAUCGUAUGUUUUGUGUUCGGUAUACGUUACGAACCACGGUUUUUGUUAUUAUUUUUUCUAUCGAAACGACACGUAAAAAUCGACCACAUUUCAUACUGCCGAAUUUCCUAGCCGUACCGUUUACAACAAUUACAUUUUUUUAAAUAUCGCCUAGAAAAAAAAAAAAAAUGAGAAUUUUUAUAAUUUAAAUAAUGAAAAAUCCGUGCGAUAUAAUUGUCGACAGUAUAAAUUAAUAUAAGGCCCCGGUCGGAUUAUUCGGUUGAAAACAUUUGACUUUUGAUAAAAGCGUUUUAUUUCGUUUCCCG